rnacentral:rRNA from 1 species
UACAGAGGUGGCAAGCGUUGUUCGGAAUUACUGGGUGUAAAGGGCGCGUAGGCGGUGAUAUGAGUGUGAUGUGAAAGCCCCGGGCUUAACCUGGGAAGUGCAUCGCAAACGAUAUGACUGGAGUAUAUGAGAGGGUGGCGGAAUUUCCGGUGUAGCGGUGAAAUGCGUAGAGAUCGGAAGGAACGUCAAUGGCGAAGGCAGCCACCUGGCAUAAUACUGACGCUGAGGCGCGAAAGCGUGGGGAGCGAACAGG